GACGAACGCUGGCGGCGUGCCUAAUACAUGCAAGUAGAACGCUGAAGCGAGGAGCUUGCUCUUCUUGGAUGAGUUGCGAACGGGUGAGUAACGCGUAGGUAACCUGCCUUGUAGCGGGGGAUAACUAUUGGAAACGAUAGCUAAUACCGCAUAACAAUGGAUGACACAUGUCAUUUAUUUGAAAGGGGCAAUUGCUCCACUACAAGAUGGACCUGCGUUGUAUUAGCUAGUAGGUGAGGUAAUGGCUCACCUAGGCGACGAUACAUAGCCGACCUGAGAGGGUGAUCGGCCACACUGGGACUGAGACACGGCCCAGACCCCUACGGGAGGAAGCAGUAGGGAAGCUUCGGCAAGGGGGGCAACCCUGACCGAGCAACGCCGCGUGAGUGAAGAAGGGUUUCGGAUCGUAAAGCUCUGUUGUAAGUCAAGAACGGGUGUGAGAGUGGAAAGUUCACACUGUGACGGUAGCUUAACAGAAAGGGACGGCUAACUACGUG
rnacentral:rRNA from 1 species